rnacentral:rRNA from 1 species
UGGGGAAUAUUGCACAAUGGACGGAAGUCUGAUGCAGCAACGCCGCGUGCGGGAUGACGGCCUUCGGGUUGUAAACCGCUUUUUCUCAUGACGAAGUUUUUUGACGGUAGUGGGGGAAGAAGCACCGGCUAACUACGUGCCAGCAGCCGCGGUGAUACGUAGGGUGCGAGCGUUGUCCGGAAUUAUUGGGCGUAAAGAGCUUGUAGGCGGUUUGUCGCGUCGAUAGUGCAAACUCAGUGCUUAACGCUGAGCCUGCUGUUGAUACGGGCAGAAUAGAGGAAGGGAGGGGAGAAUGGAAUUCCCGGUGGAGCGGUGGAAUGCGCAGAUAUCGGGAGGAACACCGGUGGCGAAGGCGGUUCUCUGGGCCUUUCCUGACGCUGAGAAGCGAAAGCGUGGGGAGCGAACAGG